rnacentral:lncRNA from 1 species
UUUCCCGGCAGCGCCAUGGAGCGCAAGCUGACGGUGCAGCAUGGCGCACAGCGGAGGCCGCGGGCGGCCGAACCCGGCGUGUCCUUGGGCUCUUCCAGGUGCAACAAAACCGGUCUCAUUUGAAGGUGCUUGAACAAAUAUUUUCUAAAAACUUGUCAUGGAGAGUGAUUGAAACAAGCUACCAGGACUACAUUUGCCAAUAGCAAGCAUGGAGGUGGCUGUAGUGGAUGUCCAGCUUUGGGAGCUGCGAUUCCUAAAGACCCUUUAUUGUUUUGGCUUACAUAUUGGAAGGUAAAACGAAGACCAUGAACAAAGUCAAGAAACCAUGAACAGAAGCAAUUGGUGAAAAUUAAUAUUUAAUUUAAUAUUAAUAAGUUAUAUAUAAAUAAACAGUUAUUCUU